rnacentral:rRNA from 1 species
AAAACAUCGCCUCUAGUACACCCAUUGGAGGUCCAUUCUGCCCUAUGAAACUAUUUUAAAUGGCCGCGGUACCCUGACCGUGCUAAGGUAGCAUAAUAAUUUGCCUCUUAAUUAGAGGCUGGAAUGAAGGAACAUACGAGAGUAAAGCUGUUUCAUUUUCACCAAUGAAAAUUAACCUCUAGAUGAAGAGAUCUAGAUAUCAAAAAAAGACAAAAAGACCCUAUUGAGCUUUACUUUAUCAUGAAGUUUUAAAAUUACUAUCUUAAUUAAUAAAUCAUUGACAAGUUUUGUUGGGGCGACAAAAGAAGAUCUAAAUCUUCUUUUACAUAUUAGGAUAUAAACCAUACAAUGAUCCGAAUUAUCGAUUAACAGAUCCAGCUACCCUAGGGAUAACAGGCUAAUUUUCUCUGAGAGCCCAAAUUGACGAGAAAGAUUGGCACCUCGAUGUUGGCUUAGGACUCCUAUUAAAUGCAGAAGUUUUUUAAGUAGGUUUGUUCAACCUUUAAAGUCCUACGUGAU